rnacentral:rRNA from 1 species
UACCAAAAUCCUCACACUUAUCACACAUAAAGUUUAUGGGGUUACCCAAAGUGUUCAUUAUUGAACAGAGGGAGGAGAGUAGUGUCCCCUACUAGAAAGGAGAGGGCAAGGCUGGUGCCAGCCGCCGCGUAAAACCAGCUCUUCAAGUGGUCGGGAUAAUUAUUGGGCUUAAAGUGUCCGUCCCCUUUUUUAAUAUUCUUGGUAAAAAUGGCUAUCUUAACUACAUAAAGGCAGGGAAUAUUCCUAUCCUAGGGGGGGGUGUUUUUUUAUUUUUUCUUGGGUAGGGGGGAAACUUAAAAUCCUUGGAGGCCCCCCCGUGGGGGGGCGGCCAAAGGGAACGCCCCCACGGGUAGGGACAACGCCGGGGACCAAACCGGAUUAAAUACCCGGGUGGUCCCCCCUUUAACCGAGGGGCGUAAGGGGAAUAAAUAACAACAAGUCUCCGGCGGGCCGAAAAAAAAUCGGGAAACUUCCUCCUUGGAAGGUCGGGGCGCGGGGGUGAAACUUAAAGGAUUUGGCGGGGCAAAGGCCGAAUUCUUAAAACCUUCAGGACUGGUCCCUUUAGUGAGGGUUAUUUCUGACCUUGGUAAUUCGGGCCAUACUUUUUCCGAGA